GAGGAAAGCUGGAGGCGUGCCUAAUACAUGCAAGUCGAGCGAACAGACGAGGAGCUUGCUCCUCUGACGUUAGCGGCGGACGGGUGAGUAACACGUGGAUAACCUACCUAUAAGACUGGGAUAACUUCGGGAAACCGGAGCUAAUACCGGAUAAUAUAUUGAACCGCAUGGUUCAAUAGUGAAAGACGGUUUUGCUGUCACUUAUAGAUGGAUCCGCGCCGCAUUAGCUAGUUGGUAAGGUAACGGCUUACCAAGGCGACGAUGCGUAGCCGACCUGAGAGGGUGAUCGGCCACACUGGAACUGAGACACGGUCCAGACUCCUACGGGAGGCAGCAGUAGGGAAUCUUCCGCAAUGGGCGAAAGCCUGACGGAGCAACGCCGCGUGAGUGAUGAAGGUCUUCGGAUCGUAAAACUCUGUUAUUAGGGAAGAACAAAUGUGUAAGUAACUAUGCACGUCUUGACGGUACCUAAUCAGAAAGCCACGGCUAACUACGUG
rnacentral:rRNA from 1 species